rnacentral:rRNA from 1 species
AUGUGCCCGAUAAAACAGGAAAACUUGAUCCAUGAUGACCAGAAAUUGAUAUUGCUGGCAUCUCUUAGCGACUCCUUGGAAUAUUUAGCAGAUUCAGUUGAAAGGCUUGGUGAGUCAUUUAUAAGUCCAUCCACCAUCUCAGAAAACAAAAGUGACAUACACCAAAGUCACCAUACUCGCACAUCUAGUGCAAUUCCGAAAAGCCUUGCAUCUCUUGCUAAUGAGUACAGAAGGCUAGCAACCGAUUGUGUUAGAGUCUUGAGAUUGGAAAUGCAGUUGGAGACAAUAUAUCACAUGCAGGACAUGACAAAAAGAGAAUAUGUAGAAGAUCAAGACGCUGAAGAUCCUGAUGACUUCAUCAUCUCUCUUACAACUCAGGUAGGCCAGCCCACGUUAGUAUGA